rnacentral:rRNA from 1 species
CCUACGGGAGGCAGCAGUGGGGAAUAUUGCACAAUGGGGGAAACCCUGAUGCAGCGACGCCGCGUGAGUGAAGAAGUAUUUCGGUAUGUAAAGCUCUAUCAGCAGGGAAGAAGAAAGACGGUACCUGACUAAGAAGCCCCGGCUAACUACGUGCCAGCAGCCGGGGUAAUACGUAGGGGGCAAGCGUUAUCCGGAUUUACUGGGUGUAAAGGGAGCGUAGACGGCUGUGCAAGUCUGAAGUGAAAGCCCAGGGCUCAACCCUGGGACUGCUUUGGAAACUGUGGAGCUAGAGUGCUGGAGAGGUAAGUGGAAUUCCUGGUGUAGCGGUGAAAUGCGUAGAUAUUAGGAGGAACACCAGUGGCGAAGGCGGCUUACUGGACAGUAACUGACGUUGAGGCUCGAAAGCGUGGGGAGCGAACAGGAUUAGAUACCCUUGUAGUC